UCAACAAGGCUAUUCACAUAGGGAAUCAUCCUCGGAUGAUAAUCUGCCUCAGUUGCCAGUUGUUUGAUAUCUUUAGUCUUCAUGUUGUAGGAAAUGAGUGUUCUCCCAAAACAAAUCAUCACAGUUUCACCACCAAUACACAAAACUCUUCCCUGAUCAGUCUGCCCAGUGAACACUGAAUUGUUUAAAGCUACAUUUUCCACGGACCAUGCUCUUGUUUUGCUAUGCAUUUG
rnacentral:misc_RNA from 1 species